AGAAGAGUCUCUACACUCCUAUCAACAGGCCUGGGAGAAGAGUCUCUACACUCCUAUCAACAGGCCUGGGAGAAGAGUCUCUACACUCCUACCAAAUGCCAAAAACCCAAAGUGUACAGUUGGAAAGAGCUGUUUUGUCCAGUUAAUGACGAGUGUGUGGUCUAUUUUGGCGAGCACUACAAAAUCUUUACUACUCCUCAGUACCUCUGCAGUCUUCUUGAGUACUGCAUGUGCUCGAAGAGUCUAUUUUGCGAUGGAUUUGCACUGCAAUUUGUGAUUUCCCCGAAGAGCACAAGGACGGGCAAAGACUGUACAAGUAAUGCCUUAGAGAACACAGUAAUUAAAACUAACUCAUUGGAACUGAGCAAGAGAGAGAAAGAGAAAUACUGAGAAUGCUUUUGCUGAACAGUGUUGAGGGUUGACAAGAACGGUUUCCUCAUCCAGAUACUUUUAGAGUGUCCGGAUUAUCACACUGACCUAAAGGAAGGAUUUAGUGAGUAAAAUCAAUAAAGACUACACCAUAAGCCGUGGGACUCGGAGACAGUUUUCAGCAGAGAAUCAAUAUUCUUUUUUGGGGGGGGGUUGGUUUUAUCCUCUUUUCUGUGAGGAACAACACUGCAUGGAAACUAAAGCAUGUUCCUAAAUGGAUUCGGUGGCACUUGCCUGAACCUAAAAGCUUAGAACUUUUUUUCCUUACUUGGGACUCUGCACUUUGAAAAACAAACAAAUCAUUUCCUCUUAUCUUAAUGAAACGAGACAGAUUGUAAAAGCAUUAUCUUAAACGCAUGCUAAAAUGAAAUUGAUUUACACAAUUUUUAUGGCAACCAAUGUAAGCCAUUUUCAGAUUCAUUUUUGACUUCCUCGAAUACCUGACAUCCUCCGAAUUCUUCACGGUUUGUGGUUUUUCCAGCUCCUCGUUUCACUUUACCCUAACUGGUUUGAGAGAAGCACACAGCUGGACAAGAUGGACCCGUAUUUUUCCCUCAGAGCUGGGAAAUGGUUGGAACAGACCAGUAGAAAACGCAAGAGGAGGAAAACAGAAGUAUUUUGUGUAUGGAAUCACUGUUGAAAACAUCAAGGAGCCAGAGCCAACUGCAGAGACACAGCACAUAUGUGCACGCUGCUGGCAAUCUGCAUAGGAGGCUAGCUUUGAAGACCAGAAAACACAUCGGCGGACUGUACAACGUCAAAGACAACUGGGCCAACACGUUAUGGCAUCCUUCCAUUUAUUAAUGAAUUUAGUCUGUUGCCCAACUACCCCAACAAGAUGAUAUUCCUUCACUCCCACCCAGCGAGCAAAGGCGGUUGAGAUCUAGUUGUAACCAAUCAUGAUCGUCACUGCGAUCAUGAUUGACUACGUCUUAGUGAGUCAUAGAUGACUGACAACGAUGACUGACAACUCUACACUGUAGAUUUAUAUGGAAAAUAGUAUUGAGAACAGAAUUGUUUUUAUUCCAAAGUGCAUAAUUUACAGAAAUGUUUUUCUGGCCCCAUGCCUCCUAGUUGCCCUUACCGUCAGCAGCAUAUACACUGUAGUACAAUGCUGAACCAGGAUUUACUGUAUCAAGUGAUUUCUUCAAAAUCACUGAUUUCUUAUGGUCUAGUAAGCCUGUGCUUUUUGAACAAAAAUAAAUGUAGUUAUGUAGAAGAUUAAAUUAUUUUUUUAACAGUUUUUGAAUUAUUGGAUUACCAACUAUAUAUAUAUAUAUAUUACUGUAGAAUUUAUAUUGAUGUGUGUUGAGUUAGGAUGCCCGAUGACAAAGUACCUUUUCUAGAACAGUUGACCUUCUCAGGUGUGAUGACCUAGCUACACCUAACAUACUCCAGGUUGAAUGCAUGCUAGAUCUUCUAUGCUUUAUUUUGAAUGAUCUUAUAUUUUCAUGCAUGCAGUGCUUUUCUUUCCCCUAAUUCUAAAAUCAAAAUAUAGCAUGAUGUUACAUAGCAAUAUUUUUCCAAUCCACUUUUAAAACGUCUUCAUUUUAUGAAAUGUAACAUACAAUAACAAAACAUUUGCAGUGAAUCUGGAGAGAAACCAAAAGUAGUGCUCUCUAACUGAUUACCGAGUGCAGGUCUCGGCCCACACACCAACCGUUUGGCUAAAGGGUUUCAGAUCCUCUCAGGCGUGUAUACAACUGAAUGACAACGCUUCCUGCUCAGUGUAAUAGCAUUAAGUCCUACAGUUUUCAAUAAUUUCUCUGUGUCUCGUGUACGAUACAUUUCAUUGUACCCUGCUGGUUUACUCUGGUUUGUUUUCUAUAGCUGAUAUACAAGUAUGAAUAGAUCUAUUAAUAUUUUUGAUGCCUUAAAAAAAAAUGAAAUACUUUACAGUGUACCAACAAUGCAUAAUAAAUACUCUCCCGAUGUACCUAAAACACUAGUCAAGCAUCAUCACCUUUCAGACAUAUGCUAUGAAAGUUGUCUUUUAAAAUAAACUUUGAAUAUAUUCAAA